CUUCAUAAGCAUCAGAUGCCGGUACAAAGUCAUUAACUGCAACUUCCUUCUUCUCAUUCUUCUUGUCUGAAUAAUUGUUAAGUAUCAAAUAUUUUUUUCACUCUUUGUAUUA